AUCAUACAAUUUUUUCUUUUUGUUUUCAGCACCAGCUACUAUGCGUUAAUCAUGUACAACAGAUAUAGUCGAAUAGACUAUUCCGCAUUUUGCUGAGGAAGUCAUCCAGAUAAACUCUAACAGUUCUAUCCUACAUAGAAAAGGAACAUGUUUUCCCGUCAAGCAUUAACUAGAGAAACGCUAAAAAGGUGAAGCCGCUCAUCACAAGCAAGGUGGAGAUAGUGCCAUCAUUUAUUGAAUCUAAAUCUUCACACCAACAAAAAAGUUUAUAAAAGGUUAGUCAAUUAAUCAUCCUUUAAUUUGUUCCAAUGCAAAGGGUAGUCCAUCAGAUUUAUGUAUCGUACAUGCAAACAUACAUCUACACUUGAAAGACAAGCACUACAAUUUAGUUACGUUUGGUCGGAAUAAGUUUUGUUUCCUCAUUUUUUCAAAUUUUAUAUGUUAUUGAUUUUUCCAAUCUAUCUCAAAUGAUGUCUUCUUAUUUCACACGCUAAUUAGACGAGAAUGUAGAUUAAUUAAUAACUCCCCCAUUCCCUUUUGUUUGUUGGUGCAUUGGUAAGCAACAUCCCAUUCUAUGUCAUAUUAGUUUCCUAUAUGUUUCUCCAGUAAAUUCAAUGGAAAAAUCACUCUUACGAUUUUCAUUUUCUAUCAUUUCGGUGAAAAUAUGAUUAUUUUUUUUAUCACAACAACCAUUCUUCUGACUAACCUUAAUUCUACAAAAUCAAAUCAAGAAAAUAUAGGUUUUCCCCAUUUUGAUUCGAUUUUCAAUUUACUGAUUAUGAAUUUCUUAUUUGUGUAGAGACUGUAACACUAAAUUCCUUAUAGGGUGAGUUCACAAUUUUUCGAUCUACAUGAGUUACAUUCUGCUACCACAACAACUAUUCUUCUGUUUUUCUCUUCAACACCCAUCCUUUUAUCUAACUCUGUUGAAGCUUAAUGGAGAUAAAAACAAGCAACAAACUACCUUAAGUUGAUGGUUAACCUUAAAAUGCACAUGUCUCAUUUUCUGAAAAUUGGCAUGGACUAACACGAAUCAGUAGGCAAGUUGCUAAAUUAGUUUUUAGCAUUGAUGUUAUCAUAAACAAAGUCGCGUAAGAUCAUAUGAAUGAAUUGUUGGUGUUCUGUGGUAAUAGGAAAUUCUACUUUAAAGUUUACAGACUAGCUUUCUGUUACAUAUGAAUAACAAGGCUCAAUCGGACAUAGAAGACGGUCUCCAUGUUCUAAGAUUGAGCAUCCGAGAAACAAAAAAGAAGAAAUGAAGAAGAAUAUGGAAAACUGAUCUUGGCUAAAGGGUACUAACAGGACAAGCUUUACAAAGAGUUUAAUGGUUCUUUGUCAAAAUCUUAGCCUGUGACAGCAAUGCAGGGAGGACUUUUGAAUGGAUGGAUUUUUCUUUGCAUCAACUAUUGAAGAUUUAUUUAGUUUUCACGUUCCUCUUUAUUUAACUGGAACUACAGUGAUUACAAAAUUCCUUUUUUAUAUGUUGUUAUGUAUUAUGUAAUGAUAAUUAAAAUGUUUUUGAUACAAGUGUAGAUGAAUAAUGACACGGUAGACAAA